rnacentral:rRNA from 1 species
CUACGGGGCGCACCAGUGAGGAAUAUUGCACAAUGGGGGGAACCCUGAUGCAGCAACGCCGCGUGGAGGAUGACGCAUUUCGGUGUGUAAACUCCUUUUAUAUGUCAAGAAAAUGACGGUAGCAUAUGAAUAAGCACCGGCUAACUCCGUGCCAGCAGCCGCGGUAAUACGGAGGGUGCAAGCGUUACUCGGAAUCACUGGGCGUAAAGGACGCGUAGGCGGGCUUGUAAGUCAGGUGUGAAAUCCUACAGCUUAACUGUAGAACUGCACUUGAAACUACGAGCCUAGAGUAUGGGAGGGGCAGAUGGAAUUAGUGGUGUAGGGGUAAAAUCCGUAGAUAUCACUAGGAAUACCUAAAGCGAAGGCGAUCUGCUGGAACAUAACUGACGCUAAGGCGUGAAAGCGUGGGGAGCAAACAGGAUUAGAUACCCCAGUAGUC